GAGGAGCGAUGGUUCCGAGAGAACCAUUCUUGGGAUCAGCGGCGGUGGCGUAGACGGUGUAGACCAAAGCGAAGGUGAUGAUGAUCUCCAUCACUACUCCUUCUAUCGCUCCUACUCCAGCCGCAACGCUGUGUGUUGGAACCGCCUGCGUUUUCCCAUUGUUUUAGCGUUUGUUUCAUUAGUUUUCUAAUCAUUAAACAGGUACCCUCAAGGAAUAGUAUAUCAUCAGUGGAAAAGAAAUCUCAACAAAAACCUCUAAUAAUUUUCAUUAGGAUUAAACAAAAUUUACAAUAUUCUAUAACUUCCACCUUUGAAUAUAUCAUGUGUCUAAUAUAUAGUUAACAUCGGCUAACAAACAGACAGAGAUGUAUCAAAAAUUAUUAAAUGGAGACAACUUUUUUUUUUGGGUUGGCCUUGUAUAAACUACUAUCACAUUCUGUAACCUAGUAUAAAUCGAUUAAGAUUGUCUUCCAAGACUCUAGAUUUGUGUAGACCUACAAAGCAUUAUAACAUAACUUUUUGUUUGGAAAGGUUUAUUUUGACCCAAAAACAGAAAUCAUUAGUAGAGAUUUAACUUAUGGUUCUUUUUUUUAAGUGAAAUAUUUUUGGGCUUUUUAUAGGUGUUACUAGUGGAAAUAAUGAAAUGUACAACUUGUUUUUACGAGUAAGGAGUUGUAAUGUGGACAUACCA
rnacentral:lncRNA from 1 species